GACGAACGCUGGCGGCGUGCCUAAUACAUGCAAGUAGAACGCUGAAGAGAGGAGCUUGCUCUUCUUGGAUGAGUUGCGAACGGGUGAGUAACGCGUAGGUAACCUGCCUUGUAGCGGGGGAUAACUAUUGGAAACGAUAGCUAAUACCGCAUAACAAUGGAUGACACAUGUCAUUUAUUUGAAAGGGGCAAUUGCUCCACUACAAGAUGGACCUGCGUUGUAUUAGCUAGUAGGUGAGGUAAUGGCUCACCUAGGCGACGAUACAUAGCCGACCUGAGAGGGUGAUCGGCCACACUGGGACUGAGACACGGCCCAGACUCCUACGGGAGGCAGCAGUAGGGAAUCUUCGGCAAUGGGGGCAACCCUGACCGAGCAACGCCGCGUGAGUGAAGAAGGUUUUCGGAUCGUAAAGCUCUGUUGUAAGUCAAGAACGGGUGUGAGAGUGGAAAGUUCACACUGUGACGGUAGCUUACCAGAAAGGGACGGCUAACUACGUGCCAGCAGCCGCGGUAAUACGUAGGUCCCGAGCGUUGUCCGGAUUUAUUGGGCGUAAAGCGAGCGCAGGCGGUUUGAUAAGUCUGAAGUUAAAGGCUGUGGCUCAACCAUAGUUCGCUUUGGAAACUGUCAAACUUGAGUGCAGAAGGGGAGAGUGGAAUUCCAUGUGUAGCGGUGAAAUGCGUAGAUAUAUGGAGGAACACCGGUGGCGAAAGCGGCUCUCUGGUCUGUAACUGACGCUGAGGCUCGAAAGCGUGGGGAGCGAACAGGAUUAGAUACCCUGGUAGUCCACGCCGUAAACGAUGAGUGCUAGGUGUUGGAUCCUUUCCGGGAUUCAGUGCCGCAGCUAACGCAUUAAGCACUCCGCCUGGGGAGUACGACCGCAAGGUUGAAACUCAAAGGAAUUGACGGGGGCCCGCACAAGCGGUGGAGCAUGUGGUUUAAUUCGAAGCAACGCGAAGAACCUUACCAGGUCUUGACAUCCCGAUGCCAUUUCUAGAGAUAGAAAGUUACUUCGGUACAUCGGUGACAGGUGGUGCAUGGUUGUCGUCAGCUCGUGUCGUGAGAUGUUGGGUUAAGUCCCGCAACGAGCGCAACCCCUAUUGUUAGUUGCCAUCAUUCAGUUGGGCACUCUAGCGAGACUGCCGGUAAUAAACCGGAGGAAGGUGGGGAUGACGUCAAAUCAUCAUGCCCCUUAUGACCUGGGCUACACACGUGCUACAAUGGUUGGUACAACGAGUUGCGAGUCGGUGACGGCGAGCUAAUCUCUUAAAGCCGAUCUCAGUUCGGAUUGUAGGCUGCAACUCGCCUACAUGAAGUCGGAAUCGCUAGUAAUCGCGGAUCAGCACGCCGCGGUGAGUACGUUCCCGGGCCU
rnacentral:rRNA from 1 species